GUUUCGGAGUCCGCCGAAAGCAUUUGAAUGGCCGGGUUCAUCUCACAAUUGCACUUCUGUACAGAAGCGAACGAGCUCUCAUCUCUUUCCGGAUCGACGCCAUUCGCAGAGAGCAAUCGACCUCAGUGUCCAUGGAGACGAUGCCUUCGUGCUUCGGCUGCUUUAUAAACUCAGGUCGAUUUCAGUUCCUCAACGUGAAAUGUUCAUAUAAUCUGUUCGCCCGUUGCGAACAUGAAGCUCGUAGAAGCCAAAAUCACGAUCAUCGGAUGCUCUACUGCCGAUCCUAGGGCUAUGGAAACGAAAGUGUCCUAGGACAAAGUUUCGCUAUCAAUUCUAUCUGUUUCCCUGCUUGUCAAGAUGUAUCCUGGAGGAACUUCAUUGUUGAGCCUGUUGAUGAAUACUAUCAGGUUAAGUUCUAUGAGAUUUUGUGGGACCACUGUCGGCCGUUCUAAAAGCUUAAAUUGAUA